UACGGGGGGGGCAAGCGUUGUUCGGAAUUACUGGGCGUAAAGGGCUCGUAGGCGGCCAACUAAGUCAGACGUGAAAUCCCCCGGCUUAACCUGGGAACUGCGUCUGAUACUGGGAGGCUUGAGUAUGGGAGAGGGAUGUAGAAUUCCAGGUGUAGCGGUGAAAUUCGUAGAUAUUGGGAAGAACACCGGUGGCGAAGGCGGCGCUCUGGACCGAGACUGACGCUGAGGCGCGAAAGCGUGGGGAGCAAACAGG
rnacentral:rRNA from 1 species